rnacentral:rRNA from 1 species
GAUGAACGCUGGCGGCGUGCCUAAUACAUGCAAGUCGAGCGAACGGACGAGAAGCUUGCUUCUCUGAUGUUAGCGGCGGACGGGUGAGUAACACGUGGAUAACCUACCUAUAAGACUGGGAUAACUUCGGGAAACCGUAGCUAAUACCGGAUAAUAUUUUGAACCGCAUGGUUCAAAAGUGAAAGACGGUCUUGCUGUCACUUAUAGAUGGAUCCGCGCUGCAUUAGCUAGUUGGUAAGGUAACGGCUUACCAAGGCAACGAUGCAUAGCCGACCUGAGAGGGUGAUCGGCCACCCUGGAACUGAGACACGGUCCAGACUCCUACGGGAGGCAGCAGUAGGGAAUCUUCCGCAAUGGGCGAAAGCCUGACGGAGCAACGCCGCGUGAGUGAUGAAGGUCUUCGGAUCGUAAAACUCUGUUAUUAUGGAAGAACAUAUGUGUAAGUAACUGUGCACAUCUUGACGGUACCUAAUCAGAAAGCCACGGCUAACUACGUG